rnacentral:rRNA from 1 species
UACGUAGGGGGCGAGCGUUGUCCGGAAUUAUUGGGCGUAAAGAGCUCGUAGGCGGUCUGUCGCGUCCGUUGUGAAAACUCGAGGCUCAACCUCGGGCUUGCAGUGGAUACGGGCAGACUAGAGUGCGGUAGGGGAGACUGGAAUUCCUGGUGUAGCGGUGGAAUGCGCAGAUAUCAGGAAGAACACCCGUGGCUAAGGCGGCUCUCUAGUACGGUACUGACGCUGAGACGCGAAAGCGUGGGGAGCGAACAGG